rnacentral:rRNA from 1 species
UACGUAGGGUCCGAGCGUUGUCCGGAAUUAUUGGGCGUAAAGGGCUCGUAGGCGGUUCGUCACGUCGGGAGUGAAAACUCGGAGCUUAACUCCGAGCCUGCUUCCGAUACGGGCAGACUAGAGGUAGGCAGGGGAGAGCGGAACUCCUGGUGUAGCGGUGGAAUGCGCAGAUAUCAGGAAGAACACCGGUGGCGAAGGCGGCUCUCUGGGCCUUACCUGACGCUGAGGAGCGAAAGCUUGGGUAGCGAACAGG